rnacentral:rRNA from 1 species
ACUCCUACGGGAGGCAGCAGUGAGGAAUAUUGGACAAUGGUCGGAAGACUGAUCCAGCCAUGCCGCGUGCAGGAAGACUGCCCUAUGGGUUGUAAACUGCUUUUAUACAGGAAGAAUAAGCUCUACGAGUAGAGUGAUGACGGUACUGUAAGAAUAAGCAUCGGCUAACUCCGUGCCAGCAGCCGCGGUAAUACGGAGGAUGCAAGCGUUAUCCGGAAUCAUUGGGCGUAAAGCGCGUGUAGGUGGCUUGUUAAGCCAGAUGUGAAAGCCGCGUCAACCUGGGAACUGCAUUUGGAACUGGCAGGCUAGAGUUUUGUAGAGGGUGGUAGAAUUUCAGGUGUAGCGGUGAAAUGCGUAGAGAUCUGAAGGAACACCGGUGGCGAAGGCGACCACCUGGCCAAUAACUGACACUGAGACGCGAAGGCGUGGGUAGCAAACGGGAUUAGAUACCCUGGUAGGCUCU